rnacentral:rRNA from 1 species
UACGUAGGGUGCGAGCGUUAAUCGGAAUUACUGGGCGUAAAGAGUGCGUAGGCGGUUCGUUAAGUCAGCUGUGAAAGCCCCGGGCUCAACCUGGGAACUGCGGUUGAAACUGGCGAACUAGAAUCUGGCAGAGGGGGGCGGAAUUCCACGUGUAGCAGUGAAAUGCGUAGAGAUGUGGAGGAACACCGAUGGCGAAGGCAGCCCCCUGGGCUGAGAUUGACGCUCAGGCACGAAAGCGUGGGGAGCAAACAGG